rnacentral:lncRNA from 1 species
AUGUUAUACCCAUUGGCUCUCCAGCCCUUCAGGAACAUCCAGUGUAAAGGAUGGAUAUCCAGUGUUUGUCUGCAGAUGAGCUUGUUCCUUGAGGAUUCAACCCUGAGAUGCAUUUCUCCUCAGGGGCACCCUGAGCGGAGUACCAACUUGGUGAUCAAGGGUGCAGCCUGCUGCAAUCACUGGAUCUCCAUGUAUCUGAGACCAGGUGACAUUUCCAGUGGACAGAUCUAGUUAUUGACAAGUGAUAACACUUAUAUCGCCACUGUAUAGAUCGUCAGCCCCUCAUUUCACCUUGUUUUGGUUUUGUUGGUUUGGUUUGGUUUUUCCCAUCCCCCCUUUGUUCUAAACAGUAAAACAACAAAGGUAAUUCAAGCAAGGGGAAAAACAGAGAAAGCUAAAAUUCAUUACAAAACUUUGGAUUUCAUUUAAGCUGUGUUUCUGUACCUUUGGAAUUACUUUUUUAAAAGCAAUCAGAAGUCCAUUAACAUUAAUAUAAUAUGGUUAUAAUUAAACCACUUGGAUUCCAACAGGACUUUCUUUGGUCCAAACUGAAAUUUUAGUGACAAUUUAUUGUAAAUAAAUGGAAAUUAGUGACACA